GGGUGCGCGCUGUGCGCGGCCUCCAUUUUGGAGUCGGGCAGCUGCGACGGAGGCCGGGUCCGGCCAGGGAAAGGAAGGAGCCAGUCAGUUUGUGCUUCAAGAAGUCUGAAUUAUUCUACCUACUAGUCCACCGGAGAGUGCUCCUGCUAAGGCUACCCCAGUGACAUCAUAUGGUGGAGUGCAAGGCUCACAAUUUAGACUUUAUCUCUUUCAGUGGAUUCKGUGAACUGCAUCCUUCUUGAAGCACACCUGGACAUAGGAACCAUACAAAAAGGGAUCCAGAGAAAAGGGGGCAAAGAAAAUGAUACGGAAUGAACAACUCAACCUGCAUUGGAUUAGAUGGCUCCAUAUGAAGUAGCCUAUUAUCAGCCAUGUUUGGCUUCCAGAGAGGAUAAUCAUAGUGGAAACUGCAUUGCUGUCAGCAUGGUUUGGUGGAAAGAACAUGGAGAUCAGAUUCUGGAGUUCUGAAUUCAAAUCUCAACAGCACAAAACUGUGGGAAAGCCAUUUUCCCUCCCCGUAUCUUACUUUCUGAUUCAAUAAUAUUAAACUUGCAUAGUAUGUAAGGUGCAUGAAACAGCUUCUGCCUUCUUUGGGCUCACAGUUUACUUGAUA